GAUGAACGCUAGCGGCAGGCCUAAUACAUGCAAGUCGAACGAUACUUUCCAGCUUGCUGGAGAGGAAAGUGGCGCACGGGUGCGUAACGCGUAUGCAACCUACCUUCAUCAGGGGGAUAGCCCGGAGAAAUCCGGAUUAAUACCGCAUAAGAUCACAGGAUGGCAUUAUCCAAUGAUCAAACAUUUAUGGGAUGGAGAUGGGCAUGCGUGUCAUUAGCUAGUUGGCGGGGUAACGGCCCACCAAGGCGACGAUGACUAGGGGAUCUGAGAGGAUGGCCCCCCACACUGGUACUGAGACACGGACCAGACUCCUACGGGAGGCAGCAGUAAGGAAUAUUGGUCAAUGGAGGGAACUCUGAACCAGCCAUGCCGCGUGCAGGAAGACUGCCCUAUGGGUUGUAAACUGCUUUUAUCCGGGAAUAAACCUAAAUACGUGUAUUUAGCUGAAUGUACCGGAAGAAUAAGGAUCGGCUAACUCCGUGCCAGCAGCCGCCGUAAUAC
rnacentral:rRNA from 1 species